rnacentral:rRNA from 1 species
AGGACGAACGCUGGCGGCGUGCUUAACACAUGCAAGUCACGGGGGGUAGCAAUACCAACCGGCGAACGGGUGCGUAACACGUGAGCAACCUACCGAUUUGUGGGGGAUAGCCGGCCCAACGGCCGGGUAAUACCGCAUACGCUCUUCUGGCCUCAUGGCCGGAUGAGGAAACCUCCGGGGCAAAUCGAGGGGCUCGCGGCCUAUCAGCUAGUUGGCGAGGUCACGGCUCACCAAGGCGACGACGGGUAGC